rnacentral:rRNA from 1 species
GAUGAACGCUGGCGGCGUGCUUAACACAUGCAAGUCGAACGAAGCAUUUAAGACAGAUUACUUCGGUUUGAAGUCUUUUAUGACUGAGUGGCGGACGGGUGAGUAACGCGUGGGUAACCUGCCUCAUACAGGGGGAUAGCAGCUGGAAACGGCUGGUAAUACCGCAUAAGCGCACAGUACCACAUGGUACAGUGUGAAAAACUCCGGUGGUAUGAGAUGGACCCGCGUCUGAUUAGCUUGUUGGCGGGGUAACGGCCCACCAAGGCGACGAUCAGUAGCCGACCGGGGAGGGUGACCGGCCACAUUGGGACUAAGACACGGACCAGACUCCUACGGAAGGCAGCAGUGGGGAAUAUUGCACAAUGGAGGAAACUCUGAUGAAGCGACGCCGCGUGAGUGAAGAAGUAGUUCGCUAUGUAAAGCUCUAUCAGCAGGGAAGAUAGUGACGGUACCUGACUAAGAAGCACCGGCUAAAUACGUG